rnacentral:rRNA from 1 species
GGGACACGUGGUAUCCUGUCUGAAUAUGGGGGGACCAUCCUCCAAGGCUAAAUACUCCUGACUGACCGAUAGUGAACCAGUACCGUGAGGGAAAGGCGAAAAGAACCCCGGCGAGGGGAGUGAAAAAGAACCUGAAACCGUGUACGUACAAGCAGUGGGAGCCUCUUAAUGGGGUGACUGCGUACCUUUUGUAUAAUGGGUCAGCGACUUAUAUUCUGUAGCAAGGUUAACCGAAUAGGGGAGCCGAAGGGAAACCGAGUCUUAACUGGGCGUUAAGUUGCAGGGUAUAGACCCGAAACCCGGUGAUCUAGCCAUGGGCAGGUUGAAGGUUGGGUAACACUAACUGGAGGACCGAACCGACUAAUGUUGAAAAAUUAGCGGAUGACUUGUGGCUGGGGGUGAAAGGCCAAUCAAACCGGGAGAUAGCUGGUUCUCCCCGAAAGCUAUUUAGGUAGCGCCUCGUGAAUUCAUCUCCGGGGGUAGAGCACUGUUUCGGCAAGGGGGUCAUCCCGACUUACCAACCCGAUGCAAACUGCGAAUACCGGAGAAUGUUAUCACGGGAGACACACGGCGGGUGCUAACGUCCGUCGUGAAGAGGGAAACAACCCAGACCGCCAGCUAAGGUCCCAAAGUCAUGGUUAAGUGGGAAACGAUGUGGGAAGGCCCAGACAGCCAGGAUGUUGGCUUAGAAGCAGCCAUCAUUUAAAGAAAGCGUAAUAGCUCACUGGUCGAGUCGGCCUGCGCGGAAGAUGUAACGGGGCUAAACCAUGCACCGAAGCUGCGGCAGCGACGCUUAUGCGUUGUUGGGUAGGGGAGCGUUCUGUAAGCCUGUGAAGGUGUGCUGUGAGGCAUGCUGGAGGUAUCAGAAGUGCGAAUGCUGACAUAAGUAACGAUAAAGCGGGUGAAAAGCCCGCUCGCCGGAAGACCAAGGGUUCCUGUCCAACGUUAAUCGGGGCAGGGUGAGUCGACCCCUAAGGCGAGGCCGAAAGGCGUAGUCGAUGGGAAACAGGUUAAUAUUCCUGUACUUGGUGUUACUGCGAAGGGGGGACGGAGAAGGCUAUGUUGGCCGGGCGACGGUUGUCCCGGUUUAAGCGUGUAGGCUGGUUUUCCAGGCAAAUCCGGAAAACCAAGGCUGAGGCGUGAUGACGAGGCACUACGGUGCUGAAGCAACAAAUGCCCUGCUUCCAGGAAAAGCCUCUAAGCAUCAGGUAACAUCAAAUCGUACCCCAAACCGACACAGGUGGUCAGGUAGAGAAUACCAAGGCGCUUGAGAGAACUCGGGUGAAGGAACUAGGCAAAAUGGUGCCGUAACUUCGGGAGAAGGCACGCUGAUAUGUAGGUGAAGCGACUUGCUCGUGGAGCUGAAAUCAGUCGAAGAUACCAGCUGGCUGCAACUGUUUAUUAAAAACACAGCACUGUGCAAACACGAAAGUGGACGUAUACGGUGUGACGCCUGCCCGGUGCCGGAAGGUUAAUUGAUGGGGUUAGCGGCAACGCGAAGCUCUUGAUCGAAGCCCCGGUAAACGGCGGCCGUAACUAUAACGGUCCUAAGGUAGCGAAAUUCCUUGUCGGGUAAGUUCCGACCUGCACGAAUGGCGUAAUGAUGGCCAGGCUGUCUCCACCCGAGACUCAGUGAAAUUGAACUCGCUGUGAAGAUGCAGUGUACCCGCGGCAAGACGGAAAGACCCCGUGAACCUUUACUAUAGCUUGACACUGAACAUUGAGCCUUGAUGUGUAGGAUAGGUGGGAGGCUUUGAAGUGUGGACGCCAGUCUGCAUGGAGCCGACCUUGAAAUACCACCCUUUAAUGUUUGAUGUUCUAACGUUGGCCCGUAAUCCGGGUUGCGGACAGUGUCUGGUGGGUAGUUUGACUGGGGCGGUCUCCUCCUAAAGAGUAACGGAGGAGCACGAAGGUUGGCUAAUCCUGGUCGGACAUCAGGAGGUUAGUGCAAUGGCAUAA